CAAUAGCGUAUAUUAAAGUUGUUGCAGUUAAAACGCUCGUAGUCGGAUUUCGGGGCGGGCCUGCCGGUCUGCCGAUCGGUACGCACUGGCGGGCGCGUCCUUCCUUCCGGAGACCGCGCCUCCUCUUAACUGAGCGGGCGUGGGAGACGGAUCGUUUACUUUGAAAAAAUCAGAGUGUUUCAAGCAGGCAGCUCGCUCUUGCAUGGAUUAGCAUGGGAUAAUGAAAUAGGACUCUGGUGCUAUUUUGUUGGUUUCGAACACCGGAGUAAUGGUCAACAGGGACAGUCAGGGGCACUCGUAUUCCGCCGAGAGAGGUGAAAUUCUCAGACCAGCGGAAGACGAACCACUGCGAAAGCAUUUGCCAGGGAUGUUUUCACUGA
rnacentral:rRNA from 1 species